UACAGAGGGUGCAAGCGUUAAUCGGAAUUACUGGGCGUAAAGCGUGCGUAGACGGUUAUGUAAGUCGGGUGUGAAAGCCCCGGGCUCAACCUGGGAAUUGCAUUCGAGACUGCAUAGCUAGGGUGCGGAAGAGGGAAGCGGAAUUUCCGGUGUAGCGGUGAAAUGCGCAGAUAUCAGGAAGAACACCCGUGGCGAAGGCGGUUCUCUGGGACGGUACUGACGCUGAGGCACGAAGGUCAGGGGAGCAAACGGG
rnacentral:rRNA from 1 species